AAUUUCCAUGUAAAUUUAACUGUUAUUCUAAAGGGGUACAGCUCUUUANACCAAGGAUACAACCUUAAUUAGAGAGUAAAUAUAAACAAAAACCAUAGUUGGCCUAAAAGCAGCCAUCAAUUAAGAAAGCGUUCAAGCUCAACAAAUAACCACCCUUAAUCCAAAACUUUAUUAUCAACUCCUAAUUAAAUACUGGACUAAUCUAUGAUAACAUAGAAGCAAUACUGUUAAUAUGAGUAACAAGAUUUAAAUCUCCCAAGCGCAAACUUAUGUCAGAUCAAAUAAUAACUGAUAAUUAACAGCCAAUUAAAUAAACCCAAAAAUCAAUUAUUUAUACUUCAUCUGUUAACCCGACACAGGAGCGCUACAUAUAAAGGAAAGAUUAAAAGAAGUAAAAGGAACUCGGCAAACAUAAACCCCGCCUGUUUACCAAAAACAUCACCUCUAGCAUUCUAAGUAUUAGAGGCACUGCCUGCCCAGUGACAACUGUUAAACGGCCGCGGUAUCCUGACCGUGCAAAGGUAGCAUAAUCAUUUGUUCCUUAAAUAGGGACUUGUAUGAAUGGCCACACGAGGGUUUAACUGUCUCUUACUUCCAAUCAGUGAAAUUGACCUUUCCGUGAAGAGGCGGAAAUAAAUUAAUAAGACGAGAAGACCCUAUGGAGCUUUAAUUAUUUUACCCAAAGAAAUUCACUUAACCUACAAAUUUAGUAGUUCAACACUCAUUCUAACUGGGUAAAAAAUUUUGGUUGGGGUGACCUCGGAGUAUAAAAUAACCCCCGAGAAUUUUAUACUAAGACUCACAAGUCAAAGUAAUAUAUUCUAAUGAUCCAGUCUAACUGAUCAACGGAACAAGUUACCCUAGGGAUAACAGCGCAAUCCUAUUUAAGAGUCCAUAUCGACAAUAGGGUUUACGACCUCGAUGUUGGAUCAGGACAUCCCAAUGGUGCAGCCGCUAUUAAUGGUUCGUUU
rnacentral:rRNA from 1 species